rnacentral:rRNA from 1 species
UACGAAGGGGGCUAGCGUUGCUCGGAAUCACUGGGCGUAAAGGGUGCGUAGGCGGGGUCUUUAAGUCAGGGGUGAAAUCCUGGAGCUCAACUCCAGAACUGCCUUUGAUACUGAAGAUCUUGAGUUCGGGAGAGGUGAGUGGAACUGCGAGUGUAGAGGUGAAAUUCGUAGAUAUUCGCAAGAACACCAGUGGCGAAGGCGGCUCACUGGCCCGAUACUGACGCUGAGGCACGAAAGCGUGGGGAGCAAACAGG